UGUUAAAAAUUUCAUCAAUAUCUAUUGUUAAAACCUAACGUCGCUGAUAAAAUAAUCAAACAGUUACACAAUGCGUGCCAUGUGUACCUCAUUUUGAGGUAGAAGGACCAAUUUUUAAUAGUAGAAUUUGAUGAAAUUUUUAAUA
rfam:Gossypium hirsutum cultivar TM-1 chromosome 24, whole genome shotgun sequence